ensembl:lncRNA
CGUGAUCACAAUAACGUACUACACAGGCGGCCUGAGAGAAGGCCUCCGUGACACGUGUUUACACGUGAUAUUAAAAGUAGAAGAAGGAGGAAUAGCUUUGGGGCCGCACAGGCACGCUCAUGUCGCCACGCACACGCACGCCACGCACUCCCUCGCGCAAACAGGAACGCCGUCUGUGGUUCUCUGUGUCCCUCGGGGCGAGCGGCCAUGGUGUUACGUGGUGGAGAACGCUGCGGGUUGAGGUCCAGGAAGGACCAGCAGGGAGACCAACACACAGUGGACAGGAGGGAAUCACAGAGAGGAGGAGGGAGGUAGAGAGGGAUGGAGAGGAGGAGAAGGGGAGAGGAGGAGGGAGGUAGAGGGGGAUGGAGGUAAGUCGUAAAGGGGCCGGGGAGAGGAAGUUAUCGGUACAUACAGAGGUGGAGACGUAGAGAACGGUGGAGGAGGUGGAGUGAAAGAGAGGCAGAGAGGGAGGGAAAGGGGUGGAGAGAGAUGGAGGUAGAGGAGAGAGCAGUUGAGAGAGGGAGAGAGCGGGAUGGAUAGAGGAGGAAGGGAGAGAAGCACAUCUACUGAAACACAAACGUUAGCGCAAGACUCGAAAACACACACACACGCACACACACACACAAACACACACACAGAAAGAAAACCAACCAUGUACUUCUAUCUCUAAAUUAAACGUAAACCGGGGUGACAGGAUUGAGGUCAAUAUUGAUUUUCUCGUGUGCGGGUCAGGAGGCCAUGAAUACAUGCAUG